UUCCGGGCCUCCUGCGAAUUCGUAUGCUUUCUGUUCAUAGAAUAGACUGCAUGCUUUGCGUGUCUGGUUUAGAAUGUUAUUUUCCUGCACUAAGUGUAAGGGAUUGAUGUUUUGACUAGUUAUGCUUCCCAGAUAGAGAAUAUGACUGAUGUUCUCAUGGGUAGUUAAAUCGCCGCGGAGGGCUUGAUAUGUGACACGAUGGAGGAGAUAUUUCGUGCCAUUGAUGCGAACUAACUUGAAUGUUAAAGCUGUCUUUAUCAGUGUUUGUUGCGACUUACUUUGGGAAUAUCCAUCGUGGGUAGUUGCGUACGGAGUGAAGACAGGCUUGGCAGGCCAGUUGUUUGUGGCAAUGGCUCUGACCUCUUCUGAGGUUAGAUGAGGGUUUCUCUGCUGGAACGAUGUAGAUGAGACUAUCUGGUGUAGCGCAUGCGUUAGCUGCUGUGCAGAGAGAUUUGCUACAGACAUUGUUGAACAAGAAGAAACGGACGACGAUCAGAAAUGUGAUGUCAUUAUGUUUCAGUUGUGAUACAAACGCACUUUAAACCGUUCCGUAGGUGAACCUGCGGAAGGAUCAUUAUUGAAUUCGUGUUUUCAAGCUCAUCGAGCUCUGAAACACACCCCCACUUUUUUACUCUGUGCACUUUUUUAAAACGGUUUGGCUCUUUUAUUAGAGUCUUGCGUUUUAUUAUUUUAUAAACUUGAGUUAUGUAUGUUUUUUUGUUAAAUCUUAACUAAAAAAACUUUCAACAACGGAUCUCUUGGCUCUCGCAUCGAUGAAGAACGCAGCGAAAUGCGAUACGUAAUGUGAAUUGCAGAAUUUGUGAAUCAUCGAAUCUUUGAACGCACCUUGCGCUCUCUGGUAUUCCGGGGAGCAUGUCUGUUUGAGUGUCAUGAAUUAUUCAAUGCAACUGUUUUUGUUAUGCAAAAGCGGCUUGGAUUGGUUUCUGAGUAUGUGCUGACCUGCUUGUCGGGACAGCUUACUCGAAAUGGAGUAGUGUUCGAGUGUGAUAUUCGGAUUGACUCAGUGUAAUAGACUAUUCGCUGAGGACACCUUGUGUGGCCGAUAUUGUACAACGUGAUGCUUCCAACACGUCAAGUUUUUAUUUUUUGGC
rnacentral:misc_RNA from 1 species